UGACGAAGUUAGCUGCACGUUAGAACAGCAGAGAAAAGCUGCCUGUCAAAGAGUGUAUAAGGAUAUAUGGCAGCUGACAUCAAGAAAUAAUGUGCAGUUAGACAGAAAUCCUUCCCUGAGAAGACCGAGCUUGAUGCCGAACUCGUUGUAAAAAACUGGCUGCGGCAAGCCAAAGCCAGAUGUUGUAG